ACUUUGAGAGGAUUUGAUCCUGGUCCAGGAUGAACGCUAGCGACGUGCUUUAGGCAUGCAAGUAGAACGAGAGUAGUAAUACUCUAGUUGCGAACGGCUGAGUA
rnacentral:rRNA from 1 species